UAUUAGUGAUUAUAGAUUAAUGGUAAAUCCUUUGCCUUCCAAGCAAAUAUUAUGGGUUCAAAUCCCAUUAAUCACA
rnacentral:tRNA from 1 species